rnacentral:rRNA from 1 species
UAUUAAAGUUGUUGCGGUUAAAAAGCUCGUAGUCGAAUUUGUGUCCCGCGCCGCCGGUUCAUCGUACGCGGUGUUAACUGGCGUGCCGCGGGACGUCCUGCCGGUGGGCCUAAGCCCGCAAGGGCGUCGGCCCGACCCAAUCCCGCCGCGGUGCUCUUCACUGAGUGUCGAGGUGGGCCGGCACGUUUACUUUGAACAAAUUAGAGUGCUUAAAGCAGGCUAAAACUUCGCCUGAAUACUGUGUGCAUGGAAUAAUGGAAUAGGACCUCGGUUCUAUUUUGUUGGUUUUCGGAACCCCGAGGUAAUGAUUAAUAGGAACGGAUGGGGGCAUUCGUAUUGCGACGUUAGAGGUGAAAUUCUUGGAUCGUCGCAAGACGGACAGAAGCGAAAGCAUU